UACGGGGGGGGCAAGCGUUGUUCGGAAUUACUGGGCGUAAAGGGCUCGUAGGCGGCCAACUAAGUCGGACGUGAAAUCGCUCGGCUUAACCGGGGAACUGCGUCCGAUACUGGAUGGCUUGAGGUUGGGAGAGGGAUGCGGAAUUCCAGGUGUAGCGGUGAAAUGCGUAGAUAUCUGGAGGAACACCGGUGGCGAAGGCGGCAUCCUGGACCAAUUCUGACGCUGAGUGAGCGAAAGCCAGGGGAGCAAACGGG
rnacentral:rRNA from 1 species